rnacentral:rRNA from 1 species
UACGUAGGGUGCGAGCGUUAAUCGGAAUUACUGGGCGUAAAGUGUGCGCAGGCGGCCGAGCAAGUCGAGUGUGAAAGCCCCGAGCUUAACUUGGGAAUUGCGCUCGAAACUACUUGGCUGGAGUGUGGCAGAGGAAGGUGGAAUUCCAGGUGUAGCGGUGGAAAUGCGUAGAGAUCUGGAGGAACACCGAUGGCGAAGGCAGCCUUCUGGGCCAACACUGACGCGUCAUGCACGAAAGCGUGGGGAGCAAACAGG